GUGGGGAAUAUUGGACAAUGGGGGGAACCCUGAUCCAGCCAUGCCGCGUGUGUGAAGAAGGCCUUUUGGUUGUAAAGCACUUUAAGCGAGGAGGAGGCUACCGAGAUUAAUACUCAUGGAUAGUGGACGUUACUCGCAGAAUAAGCACCGGCUAACUCUGUGCCAGCAGCCGCGGUAAUACAGAGGGUGCAAGCGUUAAUCGGAUUUACUGGGCGUAAAGCGCGCGUAGGUGGCCAAUUAAGUCAAAUGUGAAAUCCCCGAGCUUAACUUGGGAAUUGCAUUCGAUACUGGUUGGCUAGAGUAUGGGAGAGGAUGGUAGAAUUCCAGGUGUAGCGGUGAAAUGCGUAGAGAUCUGGAGGAAUACCGAUGGCGAAGGCAGCCAUCUGGCCUAAUACUGACACUGAGGUGCGAAAGCAUGGGGAGCAAACAGGAUUAGAUACCCUGGUAGUCC
rnacentral:rRNA from 1 species